rnacentral:lncRNA from 10 species
CCUUGACCCUCCAUCAAUCUGGCCAUGUGGAAAGAUAAGACUUGCACAAAGAGAGUAAGGGUGAUGUGAGCCAGGGGUCAGGGUUUGAGGUCUGAUACCCUGGCACAUUUCUAGAGAGGAGACAGGCACUAUGUUGGAGGAAGUGCUACAUGAUCUCCUCCGUUGCCUGGACAGAUCACACGGGCACUGCCCUCUUCAGUUUACAGAAGGCUUUUUCACAUAGAUGAUUUUAGCAGAUCCACUCAAGUCUGGCACCUGGCACCUGGUUGGGGUUCAAUCUUAGAGAUGAAGAAAGCUAAACUCAGAGAGGCUAAGUGACCUGUCUCGGGUCACCCAGUGAUUGGAAGGUGGGGUGGGCCUGCAGACUUGGCCUCACUCUGAGGCACAGUUUUUCCGUAUGUCUGGGAGAGGUCCCAAUGUUCCGUGGCUUCUCUCUGAGGGGCAAAGGGAGUCUGUGAGAGCCUGGACUAGAGUCUUUAUCCUCUCUUGGGCAGGAGGAGAACUGAGGAGGUAAAGCCGUGCCGGGGAGGACAUGUGGGAAUGGGGGCAGGUAUCCGUGUCACUGGCCCCAGCUGGAGUCGAUAGCCUCCCUGUUCCGAAUGGGGCUGCCCAGUUCUAGUUGGAUUUUUUUCUCUUCUCUGCCUCUCUCCCUCAGGCUCAGUACCUCCAGGGGUGGCAGAGAGAGUGGAGGGCAUUUUGUUUCUGUUUCUGCUUCUCUGUGUUCUCAUCGUGUCUCUGAGAUGCUCUCUUGGUUUGUACCUCUUUCUCUUUCUGUUUUCUCUGUUUUGUG